UUCACAUAUAAAAAACUUUUAAAGAAAACCCCAAAAAAGUGUUGAAGGAGGCCACUCACUUAGGAACAAAAGACAGGAACGCAGUGAAACUAAAAAAAAAAAUCAUUUUGAGUCCCAACUGUGUCCAAAACAGCUCCAAAAUGAAUAACAAAUACUCAAAUAGACUGCUUUAUUGUCUGUUUGAAAAAAUGCCCCAGUUACUUACUGUCCGUAAUAAACCAAGUAAAAGAUUGUUUGAAACUUAUAGACUAACUGGAAAUCUUAAAUAAUCCAAAAACCUCCUUUUAUUAAUUAUCAUUAACCAAUUAAUUAACCGAAUCCCGAAAUUAAUUAACCCCCAUUAAACGAAGCACUUAAUGACUACUACCACAUUUACUACACUAAUUAAUUGGAUGUUAUAUGACUCUACUAUUGCGGGGUUUUAUUCAGGUAGCAGGUAGGCAUCUUUGUCGGAGAUGUCUAUUCAGGGAAAGUGAAUCGAUCCCUGCCUACUGCAGAUUCCAGGUGCUUUCUGGCCCGGAAAGCUAGUACCUGUUUAGGGUCCCUUGUCCAGGGUUACGGACGAAGAAGACGACAGGAUGGAGAGCAGCUUCUGGAUUAUGAUUCAAGAAAUGCAAGGGCUGCUCCUGUAGACAGCAAGUGCGCCGCGUAGCUGUCUGGACUGCCACAAAAACUGGGAUGAACCCAAAUGUGAAUACACCCUAACACCCAAGAGCAACGGGAGUUGCAAAAAGAUACUCUAGAGGUUUCACCAGCUCAAAUUCUAAUGAUUAUGUCUGCUCUUAAGAAGGUCAUGAGCAAAAUUAUGCAAUAAGAUGAGAUGAAAUUAUUCUUUAUUGCUAAGAAACAUUAAAUUUUCUAUCAACUAAUGCAGUUGUUGGCAUUUCUAUGAAUGUGGGGUCAGGAGUCUGGAUAUGGAAGUCGGGCUGAGGAUCUGGAUUGGAGAGGGUGAGUUAAUUAAUCUUUGUCUCCUUAGGUCAUUAUAUUUGCUGAAUAAAGAGAUGUUUUUAUUA
rnacentral:lncRNA from 1 species